GAGGGAGACUCGCUCGCUCGCUCGCACACAAGAGUCGGGUCAAACGCCACCACAGAUUCACCACAUACCGUUCACCAAUUAGAAAUCUCUUUUAGCCGAGUUAUCGUGAUUGAGAGGGGCUCUUGGAGAAGCCAAAAUAAGAAACUACAGUAUCUUUUGCCAAUGAUAUACAUUACAAUCAUUGUGUUAGCAGAGAGGUAGGAAUGCUUAGAGUGGUGAAUGAGCUACAAAUCAAGUGGAGUCUGUGUCUUGGAUGGUGAUGAGCCUGCUGAGUGUUCUUGGAUCUGCAUUCAUCCAGAUGCUGCCUGAUCUGCUGAUAGCUUCCAGCUUUUCCUGGAUUAUAUUAGAUAACAGUUCGGAUCUGAAGGUGAGUUUUGUGGGAAUGUUCAAUGGUUCUUAAUUUCACGGCGACCAAGGUAUAGUGAAAUUCUGUUUCUGCAUUCAAAUCAAUAUUGCCAUACAUAAGUACAAUCCAUGAUUAAGUACAGAAUGCCUAGACACAGCCCACUGAGUCCAUAUGCAAGUGUUGGCAGGUUUAGGCACCAUUUCUAAACUGAUCAUAAUAGCCAAUUGCAGCCAUUGCGGCCCGUGUAGGAGUUCUUCUGCCACACGAUGCCCGUCUGGAAUUCUUCUGCUGCACGCAGCACGAUUGUGGUUGGCUCUUGUACCUGGAACUUGUAUGCAAUAGAUCACGUGGAUGUGAAUGUAACAACAAAUUUAAAAUAGCAGCAGUGUCCAUCUUAGUUGCAGGACAGAACAACAAAGAAAUGCCUUAUCAUGUGAAGAAUGACAGAGAGGAAUAAUGGGAAUCAAUUGCAUUGGAGUUGGAGAGAGAUAGUAGCUAGAAAUUGGAGCACGAGAUAAUAAUAGGAAAACCAGUACAUGAAUGACGUAUCUUAAUUUUUUUAUUUACAAGAUGUGAAUAUAGAUGGAGCAAUUAACAUUUUUUUUUGCAUAUUCCCAAUUGUUUUUGAUUGUAUUGAUGAAGCUUUCUUGAAUCACCUUCUUGUCAAGAUAUUUCCAAUGUGCUGUUAGAUAGAAAUUUGCAGGAUUUAGUCCCAGCAGCAAUAUAGAACGAGUAAUAUGCUUCCAAGCCAGAAAGGUGUGUAACAUGGAGCUUGUGUGUGGUGGUGAUGUUCCCAUGCAACUGCUGCUCUUGUCCUUGGAUGGUGGUAGAGUCUGUGUCCUGGGUUGUCAGAAUUGCCCUGGCAAAUAGCUGCAAUGCAUUUGUACUCAAUUGUGUGCAAUUUAGCCAUUCGGCUCUAGUAAUGGGUGCCAAUAAAUCUUGCAACAUAUGCUUGGGCACAUCAUCACCACAUGCAGUGGUGGACUGUGUCUAAAAAUAUUGGUUGCCAGGAGACAAAGGGGGCCCACUUCAUCAGGGGCCCACUUCAUCAGGGGCCCACUUGCCAUCGGGCAAGCUGACACCCUGCCAGUCCGUCACUGACCACAUGUACGUUCCCCUCUAUAUCACAUCACACAAUGCGUAGUGCUGCGCUUUUCCAGGCAAGUUAAAUGGGAAGAGAAGUGAAAAUCUAAGAGACAGGAUAACAGGACAGGAGGGAGUAUUAGAGAUUUGGUAGGAGUCUCAAUGAUUUAUUACCCAUUAAAAUUAAUAAAUAAAAAUUUGUGAGGACCGCACAUGUGUACCUUAUGUACAUGCUCCAGUAAGACGUUCUGGCAAAUGUGCUCAAGAUAGAAAUGACUUCUGUAAAUGAGAGACAAAAGACCAGCGAUGCUGGAAAUCAGAAGUAAUAACAGACAACUGCUUUCUAAUAAAAUGGGUUCAAUCUGAAAUAUUAUUUUAUUUUUCUCUCUCCACAGAUCCUAUCUAACUGACUGAGUAUUUCUAGCAUUUUUUAUUUCAUUUGAGUGUGUGAACAAAUAGGAUAGUCUGGGAAGUGAGAGUUGAGACUAGAGAAGAAAGAAAAGGCAGAGAAUUAACAGAGGGAGAACUUUCCCCCAUACAAGAUGCAUUGGUUGUAGAAAACGCAUCAUCACUUUCGUUCUCAAGAGCUAUUAGGAGAAGUCUUUAAAUGCUGGUCUUACCAGCAGGAACCCGUAUCCAGAAAAACAAAUAAAAAUUGGAAACAAAGUGCUGGAGUAACUCAGGGGUCAGGCAGCAUUUCUGGAGAACCUGGAUAGGUGACGUUAAGGGUCAGGAUGUUGCAUGAGCCACUGAGUUACUGCAGCAGUUUGUGUCCUUGUGUAUAAACCAGUAUCUGCAGUUCCAUGUUUCCUUGUCUCUACAAAUAAAAAAUGGACUUCAGUCCAGCCACCCUGAUCCACACACUUGCGAAUUUUGUUAUAUUACAUUUAACCAUUCCCAAAAACAUGGGAGCACAACAAUGGGUUGGAUCCCUCCGUCACUCCAGCCAAGAUUUUAUGGUAUGCAAGCCUGUGAAUUCUCUGAAUCAUUCAACUGAUUUUUAGAGAGGCAUGUUGAGCAAGGUUGCUAUUUGAGCAUUAGUAAUUAAUGGUAAGAAAUAAAAGGUUUUUAUGCCUUUAAUGACCAUGUCGCCAUGAUACAAAGCAAUAAAGCAAUCAGAUAUUCAAGGUUACCACUGCAGAGGAUAAUCAUUGUUUCCAAAUCCUUUUAUCUAUGCUGACAAUACUGAAGAGCUCUUCAAGAAAAUGUCAAAGCUACAUCCUGCAAAUUUUCCGUUGCAUUCACCUAACCUAUAAAUAACAGUAACCUGCACUGAUUGCCUUUACGCAAGAGACUGACCCAUGACUAUUAAAGGUUUAUACUAAGUAUGGUGACUUUUCCCAUGUACGUUGUUAGCGUUACCAUGGAAAUCUUUACGUUUAGGUGGUCUAUUGAAAACAUCAUGUCAUGUGAUUAUACAUGAAAUUUCUUGUAUCUUUGGAAAAAUAAGCAUUAAUGGCCAAUUUAUUUGUCAAUUAAUAAUAUUUGAAUAAUGGCUUUAUCGUUGAUAGUGUUGUGAUAAUGUAAAUUUCUAGAUGGACUAUUAUUUUGGACAAAAUGUUUCUUAUAACGGGACAAUAAUUUCCAGCUUAUUUAUCUUAGAAUUGUGCUUCACGAUCCAUCUAGAAUAAGUGAUAAAUUAAAGGUCCAUAUCUUUAAAAUACAUUGUUUUUUUUUAGUAUAGGAAAGAACUGCAGAUGCUGGUUUACACCGAAGAUAGACACAAAAUGCUGGAAUAAUUCAGCAUCUGUGGAUAGAAAAAUGGGUGACAUUUUUGGUCAAGACCUAUCCUCAGACUUUUUUUAGUUUUAGUUCUGAUUUACUUUUAGCUGAAAGUUGUCUACAGCAUCCUUAGAAUGACAAAGGUUUGGGAAGACUCAUCAUGAGGAUAACAUAUCCCAGCAUGGAACAUGUAGAAAUGAAGAAUGAACAAAAUAAAUUGAGGCUUUGGUCAGGAAAAAGGAGACAUGUCAGGUAUAGGAUCUGGGAUCAAGUGUAUCGCGGGAGAAGUAUAGAGGAUUGCGGAGCAUAGAAAAGGGUUGCGAGAUAAUUCUGGCAGAUACGAUUAAAGAGAAUCCAAAGUGGUUGUAUGUAUAUUGAGGGGAAAAGGGUAACUGGAAAGAAGUACCUAGUUCCCCCAAGAUGGCAUUGCAGUUAGAUAAGGUGGUGAAGAAGGCUUUUGGCAUGUUGGCAUUCAACAAUCAGGGAAUUGAGUAGAGAAGUUGGGGCAUUAUGUUCUGGUAGCACAAAGUGUUGGUGAGGCCAUACUUGGAGUAUUGUAUUGGGUUUUGGUCAUCCUGAUAUAGGAUAGAUGCCAUUCAGAUGGAAUGGGUACUGAGAAGAUUUAUGAGGAUGCUGUUAGGACACGAGGUCCUGAGCUAUAGGCAGAGGUUGGACAGGCCAGGACUCUAUUCCUUGCUGAGGGGUGUUCUUAUAGAUGUGUAGAACAUAAUGAGGGGAACAGAUAGAGUGAAUGCAGUCUUUUUAAGGUAGAGUCUAUUUUACCAGGGUAGAGGGAUCAAGAACUAGAGGGCAUAUGUUAAGGUGAAGGAGAAAAAAUGAAUAGGAAUCUAAUGGGCAAUCUGUCUCACACGGGUUGUGGUUAUGUGGAAUGAGCUACCAGAGAAAGUAGUUGAGGCCGGUACAAUAACAACAUUUAAAAAACAUUAAAUACAAAUGUAGGAAUAGUUUAGAGGAUAUGGGCAAAUGAGAUUAGCUUAGAUAAUCAGCAUGGGCACAUUGGUUUGAAGGGCCUGUUUGCGCGUUGUAUGAUUCUAUACCAAUACUCUAUUCCUUUCAUCGACAUGAUUCCACCACCAAUUUCCUUAGAAGGGUUAUUAAUUGUGAUAAUGGUAAAGCCAAUUAUUUUUGGGUUAUUGAGACUGUGGUGAUGGUAUAUUCUCAGCAUUUUGAGGUAUCCACUAUUAGUUGCAUGUGCCUCUGAAACAUUCAGGAGGGCACAGGACACUGUUACUCGGUAAACCAUGAACUUGGGUUAGGUUUCAAGUUUGAUCUGUGAGUACUCUUUUCCACAGGUGGCUGAAGGUUGUGCUAGUGCUUUGGAAAUAUUCAUAUCCUGAAUGAUGUAGCUUGUAAAUCAGAAGAGUCUUCUUAAACAAAGCACCAGCACUGCAUAGAAAAUAGGUGCAGGAGGAGGCCAUUCGGUAAGGGGAGAAGUUUGAUUUAGCUCAUCUUUUUUUGGCACAUUGAGCUUCAUCAGCCAGAGUAUUGAGUAUAGAAGUUGGUAGGUCAUGUUGCAGUUGUACGAGAUGUUGGCAAGGCAGCACUUCGAGUAUAGUGUUGAGUUCUGAGCACCAACUUUUAGGAACGAUGUUGUCAAACUUGAAAGGGUACAGAGAAGAUUUACAAAGAUGUUGCCAGGACUAGAGGGUCUGAGCUACAGGGAGAGGUUGAGUAGGCUGAGACUUUAUUCCUUGGUGUGCAGGAGGAUGAGGGGUGAUCUUAUAAAGGUGUAUAAAAUCAUGAGAGGAAUAGAUCAGGUAGAUGCACAGAGUCUCUUGCCCAGAAUAGGUGAAUCGAGGACCAUUUGUUCAUCCUUAGAGAGUCACUUGAAGCAACGAAUAUGUCUCCUAGAAACAUAGAAAUAUAGAAACAUAGAAAAUAGGUGCAGGAGGAGGCCAUUUGGCCCUUUGAGCCAACACCGCCAUUCAUUGUGAUCAUAGCUGAUCAUCCACAAUCAGUAACGCGUGCCUGCCUUCUCCCCAUAUCCUUUGAUUCCCUUGCCCCUAGAACUCUCUUUUAAAUGCAUCCAGUGAUUUGGCCUCCACUGCCUUCUGUGGCAGAGAAUUCCACAAAUCAGUUUUAAAUGGCCUCCACUGCAGCAACCUAAUUUGCAAGUUUAGAAGAGUUUGUGCUUGACUCAAACCCGCAGCAUGGUCGACACGUGGUCCUAGGAGGUCCUAUGAGGUCACUGUAACACUCCUUCAUUCUCGGGGGAAGUUCCCGCAUACAAGUUUGGUCGAGGAAAAUUUUUAAGCAUGCUGAAAAAUUUUCCACGAGUAAAAAUUGGUCAGCGUGGUUCUUUUGAACUCAUAAU